rnacentral:rRNA from 1 species
AGAGACAGCAGCAGCCGCGGGAAUACGGAGGAUCCAAGCGUUAUCCGGAAUCAUUGGGUUUAAAGGGUCCGUAGGCGGUCUUGUAAGUCAGUGGUGAAAGCCCAUCGCUCAACGGUGGAACGGCCAUUGAUACUGCAGGACUUGAAUUAUUGGGAAGUAACUAGAAUAUGUAGUGUAGCGGUGAAAUGCUUAGAGAUUACAUGGAAUACCAAUUGCGAAGGCAGGUUACUACCAAUUGAUUGACGCUGAUGGACGAAAGCGUGGGUAGCGAACAGGAUUAGAUACCCGCGUAGUCCCUGUCUCUUAUAC